AUGGAUAGUACGGAAGAUCGACCGUCCUUGGUUGCGCAGGGGAAGGACAAGCAGCCCGUUCCCUACAGUGACGCUCCGUCUCCAGUGCGCGCCGUGCUCAACCGUCCGUGGCCAUCCCCUGUCCUGAUCCCGCCGGAUAGCCCGUCCCGCAAGUACCGCACACCGGUGGCCACUGCCAAGGACAUCGGGGACCCGAUCUCGCCGGAGGAGAUAGCCGCGCUGGAGGACAAGGAGAGCGACGACGCAAAUGCACGGUUCUACAAGGCAAUGGCUCGGACCGAUGUCUUUAUGAGGAAUUACAUCCAUGAACACGGCAGCCUGUACAUGGAUGAGAACGACGGGUGCAUGUUCGACAACUCCGCCCAAGUUGAGGAAAUACGGUAA
rnacentral:rRNA from 1 species